rnacentral:rRNA from 1 species
AUUGAACGCUGGCGGCAGGCCUAACACAUGCAAGUCGAACGAGUGGCGGACGGGUGAGUAAUGUCUGGGAAACUGCCCGAUGGAGGGGGAUAACUACUGGAAACGGUAGCUAAUACCGCAUACCCUCGGAUGUGCACAGAUGGGAUUAGCUUGUAGGUGAGGUAACGGCUCACCUAGGCGACGAUCCCUAGCUGGUCUGCGAGGAUGACCAGCCUCACGUGAAUCGAGACACGGUCGAGAAUAACCCGGGAGUCCUGUGUGGGGAAUAGGGCACAGUGGUCGUGAGCCUGAUGCACCCAUGCCGGGUGUAUGAAGAAGGCCUUAGGGUUGUAAAGUACUUUCCGCGGGGAGGCGUUACGCGCAGAAGAAGCACCGGCUAACUCCGUGCCAGCAGCGGCGGUAAUAC